CAAAAUUUUACUUUUUCGCUCCAAACAUAUUUUUCUGUCGUUCCCUUCAACGCCAACGCAGACCCUUCCCUUAUCCCUCUUCAAUUUUCCAUUCACCGGCCGUCGCCUCCUCGCCACCGUGUCUUUGGUUCUCCUCCAUUUUGUUUCAGCGUCGCGACUAAGAGAGGGAGUUGCGAUUUCGAUCGACAGCUCGCUCCUCUCUCCUCGUCUUUCCGGCGAAUCCAGCACGAUCGAUCGACUCCAGCUUCCUUCUCGUUGACGGCGAAGCUCCGAUCUCUCUCUCCCUUCGUUUCCGGCUGGCACAACAAAUGUAAGGAGCUGAGGUUGCGUUCCGAUCGAGACAGUAGCGCAACCAGCCCUGUUCCUUCGUUUACCUGUUCCUUCGUUUUUUCAGCGACGCUUGUCCUUAGCCGGCGGUUAUGAUCUGACCUUCUCAUUUGCAGCUUCUUCAGCCAUUGUUGCCUUCACCUUCGAUCGAGCUAGCGUCGACAGAAAUGGUUUUGCGCAAGCUGUUUCCGGUCACUCUAACAGAAAAAUUUCAGUCUUCAGUGCGUUUUUCAGCUGGAAGCAGAUAUUUCUUUGUCUUAGUUAAAGCUCUGUUUCCUUCACCGUAAAGCUAGAAAAGUAAUUUCUUGAUUCCAGUAAUUAUUUACAUUAUGAGCCUUAUGUACAAAGAAUUAUUCAUUUCUGUUUGUUUACUGUACUCCGCAGUUGUGGGAUUUAUGUACCUCUAACCAUGUAUUAAAAGAGGUAUACUAAUUUAUGAACUUAUGAAUGUCCUAAUUAUUCAUCUAAGGCAUGUAUGAACCAGUAGCCCACAUUAUGAACGAGAUGUAUUACAAAUAGGCCUAAACUGUAUUUUAUUUGAGAUGUUUGAGAUUGGGCCAGAAA